GCCUAGGUGGCUCAGUUGGUUAAGCAUCUGACUUCGACUCAGGUCAUGAUCUUAGACUUCGUGGGUUCGAGCCUCGCAUCAGGCU
rnacentral:tRNA from 1 species